CUUUUUGACAUGGACACAAUAACAUGUUACCAUAGAUCCAUAUACAGGAGAAGAUUUUAUUCUAAACAAUUCUUAGAAAUCAACAUUCAUGUAAGACAGUACUGGUUCAAUAGUCAGUUAAACUGCCUUAGUUCCUGACUCUGUUCCUACCUACUGUGACUUUGGGAGAGGUGGUUCAAGAUGGCGGUGUAGGGAGAUCUUUACCUCACCUCCUUCCACGUACCCAACAAAUAUACAGCUACAUCUGGAACAAGUCCCUCUGAAAGGAACCUGAGAACUGGUUGAACACCUGAUCAAUGAAGGAUCAAAGGACCACACUGAGACAGAAGACUUUAGAAUAAUUCCCUCAUCUUCUCACCACCAAACUUACCAGCUACCUGCAUCUGCACUCUGCCUUCCUCUUUCCUGCUGUGUUGGAAGAAGUGUCCCUUCUUUAAUCAAAGUUCUGGAAGCUGGAAAGCCAAAGAUCAAAGUUCAGUUUCAGAAGAGAAGGAGCCAUGAAUUAUGGAGACACCUGUCACCUAAUGAAUUGACUAACAAACAAUAAAAUAGGAGAAGACGUUAAUAGAUGGUAGGAAGAAGGAGGGGCCUUUGUUAAGUAAGGCAACACAUCUCUUCAGACUUGUCCUGGUCACUCUACCAAUAAAAAGCAUGGGAUUGAUGCAUAUAUAUUACUUCUUGUUGAAUAGAGCUUUAUGUUUUCUAUGGAGUUAAAAAGUGAAUGAUGUGUUUGUGUAUGUUUUAUCCCCCAAAAUGCCUAAAUUAAUUUUGUUUUUGACUUUUGUAUGGCUCAUGUCUAAUUUCUUUCCUCAUUGAUGGGUGGUCCUGGAGAGAUAAGAUUUGACUGUACCCUGCAGUGGCAUUAUAUUCUUCUUGACCUUCUUUCUAUACAAACUGGAAUCUUUAUGACUCUUGUAAGUUAACCUAUAAAAGUUUCAAAAUCUACUGCCGCUUCUGUACUGUCAACCACUCAAGUCCUAAUCAUUCCAGCUACAAUGUGUUUUACUUUGUUUUACCUUUUAAUGAGAUCUUUGACAUCAAUUCCUUUCUCCACGGUUCAGUUUAUUUUUAUUUGACAACUUAGCUUGUUAUAGGAGCAAUUGAAAAACUCACCUAAUUAAAAUUCACACAUCAUGAAGUUUAAUUCAGUGGUAAGGUUAAUUUUCCUCUAAGCUAUUGAAUGUCAGUGAUUACUUUUCCAGUGGAAGUGAGGACGAAACCAAAAAAGAACUUUUCAUUCCUUUUAUCAUUAGCAUAAACUAUCCCCAACCAAAAUACUAAAGAGAAAGUCCUAGGAAAAAUCCUCAAUAUGGAUCAAAACUGUACUACUGCAGAUGGCAAAGAUUCUGUUCUCAGUAAGUAUGAGAUGCUUUAAAAAGAAAGUGGUAAAUGUAAUCUUACAAGAAGUAUGUGAAUGGGGCCCAGUCAUCUUAGAAAUAGUUCACUGCUUAGAGGUUGUACUAGUUGACAUUAGUUCUCAUUCACUAGUUCUGGUGGUCUAAAGCAUUAAAUGCACUUCUGCUUUGGGAAAAGGG